AGGAAUCUACCUUGUAGUGGGGGAUAACCUGGGGAAACUCGGGCUAAUACCGCAUAAUCUCUUUGGAGCAAAGCGGGGGAUCUUCGGACCUCGUGCUAUAAGAUGAGCCUACGUCGGAUUAGCUUGUUGGUGGGGUAAUGGCCUACCAAGGCGACGAUCCGUAGCUGGUCUGAGAGGACGAUCAGCCACACUGGGACUGAGACACGGCCCAGACUCCUACGGGAGGCAGCAGUGGGGAAUAUUGGACAAUGGGGGAAACCCUGAUCCAGCAAUGCCGCGUGUGUGAAGAAGGCCUUCGGGUUGUAAAGCACUUUCGGUGGGGAAGAAAUUCUCAAGGGUAAUAUCCUUGGGCGUUGACGUUACCCACAGAAGAAGCACUGGCUAACUCUGUGCCAGCAGCCGCGGUAAUACAGAGAGUGCAAGCGUUAAUCGGAAUCACUGGGCGUAAAGCGCGCGUAGGUGGAUAUUUAAGUCGGAUGUGAAAGCCCUGGGCUUAACCUGGGAAUUGCACCCGAUACUGGGUAUCUUGAGUAUGGUAGAGGGAAGUGGAAUUUCCGGUG
rnacentral:rRNA from 1 species